rnacentral:rRNA from 1 species
GAUGAACGCUGGCGGCGUGCCUAAUACAUGCAAGUCGAGCGGACAGACGAUGAGCUUGUUCCUUUGUCGUUUGCGGCGGGCGGGCGAGUAACACGUGUAUAACCUUCCUAUCUUUCUGGGAUAAUUUCGUGAAUCGGGCGCUAAUACCGUAGGAUAUAUUGAACCACAGGGGUCAAUGGUGAAUGUCGGCUUUGCUGUCACUUAUAGAGGAAUCUGCGCUGCAUUGGCUGGUUGGUACGGUAACGGCUUUCCAGGGCGACGCUGCGUAGACGAGGGGAGAGAGUGAUAGGCCACACUAGAGCGGGACCACGGUCCAGACUACUAAGGGAGGCAGCAGUCGGGAAUCUUAGGCAAUGGGCGGCAGCAUGACGCAGCGACGCCACGCGAGUGAUGAAAGCCUUCGGAUCGUAAAGCUCUCUUAUUGGGGAAGAACAAAUGUGGACGUAACCGUGGCCGUCUUGACGGUACCUAAUAAGUAAGCCACGGCUAACUACGUG